GUUGAAUUUAUUUAUUCAUUUCUUUUUCUUUCUUUGUUUUCACCGAAACCUUUUCCCCCGCGCGUCCCUCUCUUCUUCCCCACUGAACCCACUCACUCGAAGCCAUGCCCUAACUUCCCUUCCUUCUCCUCUCCGACGGUUCCUUCCUCCCCAAGCCGAUUUUCCUCCUCAUCCCUAGUGCCGACCUCUCCUUCUUCUCUCUCCCGAGCCGCACACUCGACGCCACUGCCCUUCCCUUUCCCGAUCUCGCCGCGCCUUCUCCACCCGACGGCGUUGCCACCCGCUGUGCCGCCGGCCGGUCCACCUCCACCGGCCACCAGGACCGACCUAGUGCCGGCCACCCCGAGCCCUAGCCGCGGCAGUGAAGGGGGAGCCGACGGAUUUCCACCUCUUCUCUUUCCCCUCUGCCCUAGCGGCGGCAGCCGAGCCCUCUCCACUGCUGAGAUCAGGAACGCCGACGCGCAAAGAUCACGCAUGCCCUUGCCAACUCAGCACCGACCACUCCUGCCUGUGCCCUAGCACCGUCGGGUGCCACUCCUCUUCCUCAGCGUCGGUUGUUGGUCAUCAGAGAGGACCAAGCCAUGCCCUAGUUUUUCCCCAUUUCUGCUCUGAUCAAUGCCAUGGAUUGUGGUCACUGGCCGACCACUGCAGGUGACGCUGUUGCCAGCAACAGUGGGUUACAACCGGAGGAGGAGGUCAAUUGGCCAACAACCCUAACUGUGCGGCAAAACCCCCCAUCCAGCAGUUUUUUUUUGCUCAAGAACGACUGAGGAUAAGGACUUUGACACGAGACGAGCAUCUUGACAUCGGAUUGAACCGGAUAUGAUCCUCUUAUCGGAGGCGGGUACCUUGACUUUUCCUUUUGAUAUGUCAUGUUGAUAUGUCUAGUAGGUUAUAGCCUUUAGUAAUA